rnacentral:rRNA from 1 species
CGCUCACCUAACAUUAAAAUUUAGCCUCCAUAGAAGCUGGAGACCAUAUUAAUUGUUUUACGAAAAAGGGUUUUCCCCCGCUUUAUAUUACAAAGCAACCAACCGAUACAGCCAACAAUAGGUGCUAGGGCGGAAGCAACACAGACACGCCCAAAAGAAACGAGAGAGAAAAUACAAAAAAAAACAAAUGUCGACAACAACGGAUCGACAAAAACACGAAGAAGCCUCACGACCAUUGCGCCCACCGGAGAUCUCCUACCAAGCUCCUAGACUCCGAAGCGCCGGUACCAAUCAACACCUCUAAGAAGGGACGCGACGAUGUCGACGCUGCCGCCAAGGGUUUUCCCCGGUAACGCGGCGAGGAAAAAAGAAGGGUAGCCCCGACGCCCUUCAGGAAGGUCCGGCAGCACCCUCAGGCGCCACCGCGUCGGUGUCGGCCAGGCCGACAGGCAUUUCUCCCGAUCCUGACCUUCACCUCGGGCGCUUCGAAGCCCGCCACCAAAACCGACCACCGCCAUACGCCACCAUGGUCUUGAAGCUUCUUCUUUUUUUUUUUUUUGAAAGGAAAGGUAGAUCAUGAUCUACCUUAUGCAUUCAAAACGGGCGCUGCGACAGUGCAGCUGGCCGUCACCAAGCCUAAAAAGAGGUAGAAAAAGGGGUCUUGAAGCUUCUCACGCCAUCUCACCACGACACCACGAAGAGAGGUCUGCAUACCAAAGAAGAGGAGCCGGGACAGAGGCAACAGCAUCGUCAGCACGCGGGAGGGCUCAACCUCCACCAUCAACGACGGUAUGCAGAACAGGUAGCUUUGAGCCUUAUGCGGUCAUAAGAAUUGAACAUAACCAGUGGAAGCCUUUAAAAAAACAAAACACGACUUUAUUCAUUGCAGAUAAUAGUUGCAUCCUUUAUGAGGAGAGGUACAAUUUAAAUUCGAGGUUAACCAGUGGAAGCCUAGCUAACAGUACGUUUACGCAUACGUAAACAAAAGCAAGUCUCGCUAAAAGAUCUCAACAUUAAAAUCUUGAACGUCUGUACAUAAGAUUACUUGGUUUCAGAACACAAAUACAAUUAUUUCACCCAUCAAAUUUGAUGCACAAUAUGGAAAAUAAUGUAGCACCCACCAGAUUUCUCAAAAUCUCAAACCAAGAAUAAUUUAGUCACCAAUGUUCACCUUUGAUCAUCCAUCUGAAGGGAAAAACAGUUAUUUCAUUUAGCAUCCGAACAAGCUUUCCACUACUCAUGAGUAAAAAACUUUAUUUUGUAUUCACCUUUGUUCGUCCAAGUGAAAUGAUGCACAGGCUUAAAACUUGGAUUUGCUAACAUAAUGAUUAUCUUGUUUUCCUCUACUGUGGAAUGGUUUAAAUCCCAUAACUUUUUGGUCAAGGUAGUGAUACUAAAACACAGGAAUUAUGUCAAAAGUAAUUCACCAUAUACAUAACAUCAAAUUCUUGUGCAAAAAAUUCACUUGAGACACUAGCUAAUUACCGAACGAGUUCGUACGGCAUCAUCCCAACUCUAACUCCACAAUUUGGGACAUUUUGCCAAAAAAAACGUAGUACUACUAGCUAACAAAGGGGGAGGACCACUCGUUCCAAUAAAGAGGUGUACAGAAUUGCUCGCCUUGUGUCACUGGUGCGAAUUCUGAAGCAUAUGCCAUUUUUUCGCAAAAAGAAGCAUAUGCCAUUUAGUGUUCUCAAAUUCAGAUUCAGAAGUAGUACACACAAAUAGUGUUUUCAAAUAGAAGGGAUGAAAAGCUAGUUUGAAGCAGAAGCAACUCACCUGUAUCAAGAUUUAAGAUGGCAUAUAGAGUAGACCUAUCAUCAAACGACACAAUAAACUGCCAAAGAAGUAGAUACACACCAGCUCCGAUUCAGUCAAGGAGACCAAAUCUCAACCCAGGAAAAGCAAUUUCUCAAGCCAAAUCAACUAACGGAGAACUAAUAGACGCGGGGUUCUCGGAGUAGGGAACUCAUACUGGAUCCGCGGCGGCAGGGCGGAUCCGGCAAGGUCUACACACCCUUUGGCAAGAUGCCGGAGACGGUGCUGCAGAGGGGCCCGGCGGCGAUGCGCUGGGGGCUUAGGGUCUUUUCGGCCAAGGGAGGGACAUGGACGCUGCUGCCUCGCUUCCUGCCACGCCUAAUUUCUCUUUUGUGCUAAGCCAUGGGUGAUGGUGAGUAAUGGAAGGAGGGGCUGCCAUGGUUGGAUUCGAAGGAGAGCGAGAGAAAGAAAAGAUGCGCUCGAAAGAAUGAACCGGCACCCACGGGCUGCGUUCAUGCCCAAACAUGGCAGGGGUAGCAGCCGAUGCUAGCAGAAGACAAAGAAGGAAAAAAAAUCAGGAACCUUUCAUUUUUUUUUUUGAGGUAAAUCAGGAACCUUUCAUGGAAUCGAUCGACGACGGGGACCUUCGGUGGGCUGGGAACCGUUCGCUCACGGCCCGAAACCUAGCGCGGUGCAGCCAGCCUAUGGGCUGGGCCUAGUGCC